CUUUUCGAUUCAGUCUCUUUAGGACAGCCUGUUCAAGUUGCACAGUGAUACGUCAUUAUGUUUUUUCUUCUGUUUAGAUGUUUCUCUGUAUUUCAUUAGGAGUUUGCAAAGAAUUUCAGUGUAUAAAAUUCUCGAAAUUCCGACGAAUACAAAGUGACCACGCGUCGUGUCGUUAUCGAUAACGAAGCAAAGUCGAGAGAUUCUACGUCAUUCGAUCCCGACGAAUUUCACGUAUUACGUGUACAAAACUGAGCAUAACAAAUUUGUCGUGAUGCGGGUAACAAUUUAAUUUAGAUAACGCACAGUGACGGGAAUCAUGCGAUGAUAAACGCGAACGAGGAAGAGUUUGGAAAGAAUACUGGUCCCCCGUUGUAACGAAAGACCGUAAUAUUACAUCAAUGGCCUAUCAAACGUUCCGGGAAGAGUACAUGCAAAUGCCUGUGGUGACACGAGCUUAUACAACAGCUUGUGUCAUCACGACCGUUGCAGUGCAACUAGACCUGGUCUCUCCAUUCCGACUGUACUUCAAUCCUACAUUGAUCAUAGAACAGUACCAGAUAUGGAGACUAAUAACAACAUUUUUAUUCUUUGGAAAUAUGGGUUUCAAUUUCUUCUUCAAUAUGAUUUUCACAUAUCGGUAUUGUCGGAUGCUGGAGGAGGGUUCAUUUCGCAGAAGGACAGCUGACUUUGUAAUGAUGUUCAUCUUUGGAGCAAUAUCUAUGAUCGCAUUUGCAUUUUUUGUUAACUUCUUGUUCCUGGGUCAUGCAUUCACAAUUAUGCUGGUCUAUGUCUGGUCAAGACGAAAUCCGUUCGUUAGGCUUAACUUCUUUGGACUGUUAAACUUUCAAGCCCCGUAUUUGCCUUGGGUGCUACUUGGGUUUUCAGUACUCCUUGGUAAUGCGAUAUGGGUAGAUUUAGUUGGUAUGGCUGUAGGACACAUGUAUUAUUUCGCAGAGGAUGUAUUUCCACGAGUACGGGGAGGUUUUCGUGUUCUUAAGACUCCACAAAUACUUAAGACUUUGUUCGACGCACACCCAGAAGAUCCAGAUUUUACUCCACCACCAGAGGAUCGACCCGGUGGAUUCAAUUGGGGACAAGAAGCCAAUGUGCAGUGAUUCGAAAUUCGAGAUCCUGCAUCCAAACCAUCUCUCACAGAUUGGCAUAUCAAGUACAUAUACGCAAUGACAUGGACUAUAAUACAAUGAUCAAG
rnacentral:misc_RNA from 1 species